GAUGAACGCUGGCGGCGUGCCUAACGCAUGCAAGUCGAGCGAGGACCACUCGGUGGCAACACCGGGUGACUCCUAGCGGCGAACGGGUGAGUAACACGUGGGUAACCUGCCCCCGACACCGGGAUAAGCCUGGGAAACUGGGUCUAAUACCGGAUAUGAGCCUCCUCCGCAUGGUGGAGGCUGGAAAGGGUCUCCGGUCGGGGAUGGGCCCGCGUCCUAUCAGCUUGUUGGUGGGGUGAUGGCCUACCAAGGCGACGACGGGUAGCCGGCCUGAGAGGGUGUACGGCCACACUGGGACUGAGACACGGCCCAGACUCCUACGGGAGGCAGCAGCGGGGAAUAUUGCGCAAUGGGCGAAAGCCUGACGCAGCGACGCCGCGUGCGGGACGAAGGCCUUCGGGUUGUAAACCGCUUUCAGCAGGGACGAAGCGAGAGUGACGGUACCUGCAGAAGAAGGUCCGGCCAACUACGUGCCAGCCGCGGUAAAAC
rnacentral:rRNA from 1 species